rnacentral:rRNA from 1 species
UCAAAAACAUGUCUUUUUGAUUUUAUUUAAAGUCUAUCCUGCCCUAUGAUGGAAACUUAAAUGGCCGCAGUAUAUUAACUGUGCAAAGGUAGCAUAAUAAUUUGUUUUUUGAUUGAGGACUUGUAUGAAUGGUUGGAUGAAGAAUGUACUUUCUUUAUUUUAUUUUAAUGAAUUUUACUUUUUUGUGAAAAGGCAUAAAUGUUUUUAUUAGACGAUAAGACCCUAUAGAGCUUUAUUAAUAAUUUAAUUAAUUUAUUUAGAUUAUAUUUUAAUUAGUUAAUUUAAUUAAUUUUGUUGGGGUGAUAGGUAUAUUUUUGUAACUAUACAUGUUAUGUUUUCAUUGAUUUGUGU